rfam:Bacteroides sp. SM23_62_1 WORSMTZ_3873, whole genome shotgun sequence.
ACGGGUGUAGCUCAAUUGGUAGAGCAUUGGUCUCCAAAACCAAAGGUCGGGAGUUCGAGCCUCUCCACCCGUG